GGAGGAACUGUGCAGAAAACCUCUACCCAAAGACCCCCAUGAUCAAAAACAGGAAGUAAAGCCAACCACAUGAGAGAUCUGUAGAACUCAGAACGCUCUCAGCCUCCCCUGAAGUGGAUCAUUUCUCAGGUUCCCAACAUGAAAUCUUACAGCUACAAAGUCCUUUUUCAUGUGCUGAUCUUACCACUAUUCGUUGGCUCUCAGGAGGAUGGCGGGAAGCUCCCAGCUCUGGACACAUUCUCAAUCAUGUACCGCGUUCUUGGAUUUGUGGCUUUUUUGAUUAUAAUCCUAUCUAUAUGUAUAAAAUCAUAUUGUGUGAGCAAAGGAAACUGCCUGAAAAGAGCGGCUCCAGUUUCUCCACCUGGGAACCACAUCUAUGAAAAUGAUUAAAUCCAUUUCUAAACCGUAGAGCUAUCACACAACAGCUGCUCUGUUGGGUCUUGUGUCGUCUCUGGUGGUUUUGGUUGCGAACAUUAAAAAUAACACGCAAGUGGAAAUAAAUUUGCAUUUGGCGCUACACAA